CGCGUAGGCGGUGUUUUAAGUGAGAUGUGCAAUCCCCGAGCUUAACUUGGGAACUGCAUCUCAGACUGGAACGCUAGAGUACUGGAGAGGGUGGUAGAAUUCCACGUGUAGCGGUGAAAUGCGUAGAGAUGUGGAGGAAUACCAGUGGCGAAGGCGGCCACCUGGACAGUAACUGACGCUGAGGCGCGAAAGUGUGGGUAGCAAACAGGAUUAGAUACCCUGGUAGUCCACGCUGUAAACGAUGAACACUUGGUGUGGCGGGAGUUGACCCCUGCCGUGCCGUAGCUAACGCGAUAAGUGUUCCGCCUGGGGAGUACGGUCGCAAGGCUGAA
rnacentral:rRNA from 2 species